rnacentral:tRNA from 1 species
GGGAAAGUGGCUCAGCGGUAGAGCGCUUGUCUUGCAUGCAUGAGGCCCUGGGUUCGAUUCCCCAGCACCA